AAAAUUCGUUUAUUCGUUCGUGAGAAAUCGUGAACGAAAAAUUUGGGAAAAAGUGUUUUUUUUUUACAUAACUCCGACAUUUCUUCCUGGAUUGUCUUUGAUUUCAGAGGACAAUUCUUAGAUCUUAAAAAUCCACGUCGAUCGCCGCCAAUAACGUGAAAGUCUAUUUAUUGGUUCGAGAGAAAUCGUUGACGAAAAAUUUG